rnacentral:rRNA from 1 species
UAGUCUGCAACUCGACUACAUGAAGCUGGAAUCGCUAGUAAUCGCGAAUCAGAAUGUCGCGGUGAAUACGUUCCCGGGUCUUGUACACACCGCCCGUCACACCAUGGGAGUCGGAAAUGCCCGAAGUCAGUGACCCAACCGAGAGGAGGGAGCUGCCGAAGGUGGAGCCGGUAACUGGGGUGAAGUCGUAACAAGGUAAC